GCCAUCGGGACGGGGACAGGGUGACGGUGGCCAGGAAUAGCCGAGGCCACGUGGCCGAGCCCGUCCCCAGAGUGACCCUGGGGUGUCCUUGGGGACCUCGGUGUGGUCCCAGGUCCCCUUAGCGUGACAUGGGGCAGAGCCAGGGGGGUGUCACCACCCCGGAGGCCAGCGGGGGACCCUCCGCGGGGGGCCGGGGGCCGUCGCCGCUGGAGCGGGGGCUCCACGCCGUGGUGGCCACCUUCUACCAGUACGCCCGGGCGCCGGGGGGGGGGCGGGAGGCCAGCCUCGACCCCCCCGCCUUCCAGCGCCUGCUGCGCCACGAGCUGGGCCACCAGCUCACCGUGAGUGUCC